rnacentral:pre_miRNA from 1 species
UAUAUACUCUCUCCGUCCCAAAAUUCUUGUCUUCAAUUUGUCUAGAUAUGAAUGUAUCUAAACAUGUUUUCUAUACCUACUAAUAAAAGAAUUAUGUAUUCUUAGUCCGUCAUAAUAUUUUAUAGAAAACCCCUGAUGUUUUUAACAUAAAACAUUCAUUUCUAGAUAAACCAAAGACAAGAAUUUUGAGACGGAGGAAGUAUGAU